UACGGAGGGUGCAAGCGUUAUCCGGAUUCACUGGGUUUAAAGGGUGCGUAGGUGGACAUUUAAGUCAGUGGUGAAAUCUUUGGGCUUAACCCGAAAACUGCCAUUGAUACUAUUUGUCUUGAAUUCUCUGGAGGUAAGCGGAAUAUGUCAUGUAGCGGUGAAAUGCUUAGAUAUGACAUAGAACACCCAUUGCGAAGGCAGCUUACUACGGAGACAUUGACACUGAGGCACGAAAGCGUGGGGAUCAAAC
rnacentral:rRNA from 1 species